rnacentral:rRNA from 1 species
UACGUAGGGUGCGAGCGUUAAUCGGCAUUACUGGGCGUAAAGCGUGCGCAGGCGGUUCGCAAAGUCUGAUGUGAAAGCCCCGGGCUCAACCUGGGAAUUGCAUUGGAAACUGACGAGCUUGAGUGUGGCAGAGGGGGGUGGAAUUCCACGUGUAGCAGUGAAAUGCGUAGAGAUGUGGAGGAACACCGAUGGCGAAGGCAGCCCCCUGGGCUAACACUGACGCUCAGGCACGAAAGCGUGGGGAGCAAACAGG